CAUAGGCCCCAUAGAACCCCAUAGGCCCCUAUAGAACCCCAUAGGCCCCUAUAGAGCCCCAUAGGCCCCUAUAGGCCGCAAUGGGCCUCACCUCGGCGAUGCGCUGCCGUAGCAGCUCCAUGUGCUCCCGUUGCCGCUCCCGUUUCUUCAUGAGCUGCAGCGCCCGCCCCGCUUCACUCGCCGCUCCCUUGUACUGCGCCAUCUUGGAUCCAGUACCGACACCGGAAACCGGAACCGGAAAUAACACACCCCCCUCUUAUAGCCUUAAGUGCGUCAUUUACGUGCGACGCGAUGGGAGUGGGAAGCGGAAGUGCGUCAUUAAAGUGAGACGCGACGAGGGGUCGGAAGCGGAAGUAGCUUCUGAAGCGGAAGUGCGUCAUUACUGAGACCCUUUCCCUAUAACGACAUCCCAUUGGAGGAGCUGUUGGUUUGGGCCCCGCCCACUUCCGGUGGCUUUAUCCAAUAGGAAGGAAGGAUUUGUCCCCGCCCCCUUUCCCGUGGCUUUAUCCAAUCAGAGUGAGUCCCUUUUUAUCCCCGCCCACUUCCGAUCUGAUUAUCCAAUCAGAGUGGCUCCUUUUGUCCCGCCCUUUUCCAGUGGCUUUAUCCAAUCAGAACGCAGCCUUUUAGCCCCGCCCCUCUUUUUGCCUUCAUCCAAUCGAAUCACAGCAUCCCAUUUAAGCCCCGCCCCUCCACCCAACGGGCUCCUCUGAUUGGACGAAUCGCCCUUUGGCUCCACCCACUUUUAGCCCCGCCUCCUCCCCCUUAAUGGCCUUCUCCGAUUGGUCGAUGUCCCGUCCCGUCCCCGUUAUUUGAUUGGAUCGUUUCCCUUUAGCCCCGCCCACUUGGGGCGGCUUUUAUUGGACACGGCACACAAUAAAUAGGGGGAGGGGCGAUAGGGGGCGCUAUAGGGCACACAUAGGGAUCUAUGGGGCACAUAUGGGGUCUAUGGGGCACACAUAGGGAUCUAUGGGGCACAUAUGGAGUCUAUGGGGCACAUAUGGGGGUCUAUGGGGUAGAUAUGGGGCACAUAUGGGGGUCUAUGGGGCAGAUGUGGGGCAGACCCAGCUGUGGGGGCACACAUAGGGUUUAUGGGCGCUAUGGGGCAGAUAUGGGGAUCUAUGGGGUAGAUAUGGGGCACAUAUGGGGCGCUAUGGGGCACGUAUGGGGCACGUAUGGGGGUCUAUGGGGCAGAUAUGGGUGUCUGUGGGGCAGACCCAGCUGUGGGGCACACAUAGGGGUCUAUGGGGCGAUAUGGGGGCGAUAUGGGGCAGAUAUGGGGGUCUAUGGGGCAGAUAUGGGGCAGAACCCAGCUGUCUAUGGGGCAGACUGGCUAUGGGGCAGCUAUUGGGGCACGUAUGGGGCAGAUAUGGGGGUCUAUGGGGCGCUAUGGGGCAGACCCAGCAAGUCUAUGGGGCAGCCCUAUGGGUCUGGCUAUGGGGCAGCCCCACAGAUCCCCCUCUAUAGGUCCCGCUAUGGGUCUGGCUAUGGGCAGCCCCACAGAUCCCACUAUAGGUCCCACUAUGGGCAGCCCUAUGGGUCUGGCUAUGGGGCAGCCCCACAGAUCCCACUAUAGGUCCCACUAUGGGGCAGCCCUAUGGGUCUGGCUAUGGGGCAGCCCUAUGGGUCCUGCUAUGGGUCCAUCUAUGGGUCAGCCCCACAUCUCCCCCCAUUACUCCCCUAUGGGCACAUGCAAUGUGGGUCCCCGUGGGUCAUCGAAUCGAUCCAUGGGGCGGAGGCGGAGCAGCAGCGCCCCCCCAUGGACAGACACCGCCAUCAACAGCAGCGACCAGCAGCAGCCCCAUAGAGGAACCCACAGAUAGAAAGGAAGAGCAAUCGAGGCACCCAAAAAGCCAAGCCGGAUACAUUUGAAAUGGCUGCACCUAAAGGAAGGGGAGAGGGUUCAUUAGUGCCCAUUAAUUAGUUAAUUAGCGCUAAUUAAGAGCCGUUAAUUAGGCAAUCAAUGGACCCCCCCUUCCCCUCUGAAAUGAAUGAGGAGCAAUCUGAGGCCCCCCAACAAUGAAGGCCUGGAUACAUUGAAUGGCUGCACCUAAAGGAAGGGGAAGAGGGUUCAUUAGUGCCCGGUAAUUAUUAAUUAGCGCUAAUUAAGACCCAUUAAUUAGCAAUGAUUGGACCCCCCCCCCCUCUUCCAUUGAAAUGAAUGAGGAGCAAUCUGAGGCCCCAAACAAUGAAGCCUGGACACAUUGAAUGGCUGCACCUAAAGGAAGGGGAAGAGGGUUCAUUAGUGCCCGUAAUUUAGUUAAUUAGCGCUAAUUAAAAACCCAUUAAUUAGGCAAUCAAUGGGACCCCCCCCCCUUCUCCCAUUGAGAUGAAUGAAGUCUGAUGCCCCCCCCAAAGCAAAGGCCGGACACAAUUGAAUGGCUGCACCUAAAGGAAGGGGAGAGGGUUCAUUAAUACCCAGUAAUUAGUUAAUUAGUCCUAAUUAAGACCAUUAAUUAGGCAAUAUCAAUGGACCCCCCCCCCCCUUCCCCCAUUGAAAUGAAUGCAAUCUGAUGACCCCAAUAAUGAGGCCUGGAUGAGGCCCCCAACAAUGAAGCCUGGACCACAUUGAAUGGCUGCACCUAAAGGAAGGGGAGAGGGUUCAUUAGUGCCCAGUAAUUUAGUUAAUUAGCGCUAAUUAAGACCCAUUAAUUAGGCAAUCAAUGGACCCCCCCCCUCUUCCCAUUGAGAUGAAUGCAAUCUGAGGACCCCCAUAAUGGAGCCUGGAUGAGGCCCCCCAACAAUGAAGCCUGGGAUACAUUGAAUGGCUGCACCUAAAGGAAGGGGAGAGAUUCAUUAGUGCCGGUAAUUAGUUAAUUAGUCCUAAUUAAGACCCAUUAAUUAGCGAAUGAAUGGACCGCCCCCCCCCCUUCCCCCAUUGAGAUGAAUGAAGACUGAGGACCCCCCAUUGAAAUGAAUGAAGUCUGAUGCCCCCCCAAAAGCGAAGGCCGGACACAUUGAAUGGCUGCACCUAAAGGAAGGGGAGAGGGUUCAUUAGUGCCCGUAAUUAUUUAAUUAGCGCUAAUUAAGAGCCAUUAAUUAGGCAAUCAAUGGACCCCCCCCCCCUGCUCCCCCAUUGAGAUGAAUGAAGUCUGAGGACCCCCAUUGAAAUGACAUGAAGUCUGAUGCCCCCCCCAAAGCGAAGGUCGGACACAUUGAAUGGCUGCACCUAAAGGAAGGGGAAGGAUUAAUUAUACCCCAGUAAUUAGUUAAUUAGUCCUAAUUAAGACCCAUUAAUUAGGCAUUGAAUGGACCCCCCCCCCCUCUUCCCAUUGAAAUGAAUGAAGGAGCAAUCUGAGGCCCCCCCAACAAUUGAAGCCUGGACACAUUGAAUGGCUGCACCUUAAAGGAAGGGGAAAGGAUUCAUUAGUGCCGUAAUUAGUUAAUUAGCGCUAAUUAAGACCCAUUAAUUAAGGCAAUCAAUUGACCCCCCCCCCCCGUCCUCCCAUUGAAAUGAAGAAGUCUGAUGCCCCCCCAAAGCGAAGGCCGACACAUUGAAUGGCUGCACCUAAAGGAAGGGAGAGGGUUCAUUAGUGCCCAUUAAUUAGUUAAUUAGCGCUAAUUAAGACCCAUUAAUUAGGCAAUCAAUGCCCCCCCCCCCCCUCUCCAUUGAAAUAAAUGCAAUCUGAGACCCA
rnacentral:lncRNA from 1 species